rnacentral:rRNA from 1 species
CAGUCGCCACGGUAAUACGUAGGGUGCAAGCGUUAAUCGGAAUUACUGGGCGUAAAGCGUGCGCAGGCGGUUUGUUAAGACAGAUGUGAAAUCCCCGGGCUCAACCUGGGAACUGCAUUUGUGACUGGCAAGCUAGAGUCUGGCAGAGGGGGGUGGAAUUCCGCGUGUAGCAGUGAAAUGCGUAGAUAUGCGGAGGAACACCGAUGGCGAAGGCAGCCCCCUGGGCCAACACUGACGCUCAUGCACGAAAGCGUGGGGAGCAAACAGGAUUAGAUACCCGAGUAGUCCCUGUCUCUUUACC